CACUAGAGAUUUAGCACAGAUGCAAGG
rnacentral:piRNA from 1 species